AGUGAACGCUGGCGGUAGGCCUAACACAUGCAAGUCGAACGGCAGCACAGUAAUUGCUUCUUCUUUCGGCUGCCGACUGGUGAGCAGUUGCUAAAAACCUCCGUAUUUACUUUUUCUUGGGUCCUAACGCAGGGACUCUUACGCCAUUCCCCCAUACGACCUACGGGUGGAAUCAGCGGAUCUUCCGCCCUUGGGUGAUUCUAUGUGCCGAUGUCGGAUUAGCCAGUUGGCGGGGUAAAGGCCCACCAAGGCGACGAUCCGUAGCUGGUCUGAGAGGAUGAUCAGCCACACUGGAACUGAGACACGGUCCAGACUCCUACGGGAGGCAGCAGUGGGGAAUAUUGGACAAUGGGCGCAAGCCUGAUCCAGCCAUACCGCGUGGGUGAAGAAGGCCUUCGGGUUGUAAAGCACUUUUGUUGGGAAAGAAAAGCAGCAGGUUAAUACCCCGCUGUUCUGACGGUACCCAAAGAAUAAGCACCGGCUAACUUCGUG
rnacentral:rRNA from 1 species